AUUCAACGCUGGCGGCAGGCCUAACAAAUGCAAGUCGAGCGAGCGGCGGAAGGGUGAGGAAUGUCUGGGAAACUGCCUGAUGGAGGGGGAUAACUACUGGAAACGGGAGCUAAUACCGCAUACCAUCAGAUGUGCCCCGAUGGGCUUAGAUAGUAGGUGGGGUAAUGGCUCACCUAGGCGACGAUCCCUAGGUGGUCUGAGAGGAUGACCAGCCACACUGGAACGGAGACACGGUCCAGACUCCGACGGGAGGCAGCAGUGGGGAAUAUUGCACAAGGGGCGCAAGCCUGAUGCAGCCAUGCCGCGUGUAUGAAGAAGGCCUUCGGGUUGUAAAGUACUUUCAGCGAGGAGGCGUUACUCGCAGAAGAAGCACCGGCUAACUCCGUGCCAGCAGCCGCGGUAAUAC
rnacentral:rRNA from 1 species